rnacentral:rRNA from 1 species
UGGGGAAUAUUGCACAAUGGGCGGAAGCCUGAUGCAGCGACGCCGCGUGAGGGAUGACGGCCUUCGGGUUGUAAACCUCUUUCAGCAGGGACGAAGCGAGAGUGACGGUACCUGCAGAAGAAGCGCCGGCCAACUACGUGCCAGCAGCCGCGGUAAGACGUAGGGCGCGAGCGUUGUCCGGAUUUAUUGGGCGUAAAGAGCUCGUAGGCGGCUUGUCGCGUCGAAUGUGAAAUUUCAGGGCUCAACUCUGACAUUGCAUUCGAUACGGGCAGGCUAGAGUUCGGUAGGGGAGACUGGAAUUCCUGGUGUAGCGGUGAAAUGCGCAGAUAUCAGGAGGAACACCGGUGGCGAAGGCGGGUCUCUGGGCCGAUACUGACGCUGAGGAGCGAAAGCGUGGGGAGCGAACA